UACAGAGGGGGCAAGCGUUGUUCGGAAUUACUGGGCGUAAAGGGCGCGUAGGCGGCCUGCUAAGUCGAACGUGAAAUCCCCGGGCUCAACCCGGGAACUGCGUCCGAUACUGGCAGGCUUGAAUUCGGGAGAGGGAUGCGGAAUUCCAGGUGUAGCGGUGAAAUGCGUAGAUAUCAGGAAGAACACCAAUGGCGAAAGCAGCUCUCUGGGACGGUACUGACGCUGAGACGCGAAAGCGUGGGGAGCGAACAGG
rnacentral:rRNA from 1 species